ACAUAUUCUUAACAAAAGAAGUCAGCUUGACUUCCUCUAUCACAAAUUCAAUUGGUUACUGGGCAAACACUCUAAAGUCUCAGUUGAAAAUAAAUUGACCAUCUAUAAGACUAUAAUAAGACCAGUAUGGAGCUAUGGAGCACAAUUAUGGGGAACUGCCUCCAAAUCAAACUUAAGCAUCAUCCAAAAAGCACAGAACAAAUUUCUAAGACUCAUUCUUGGAUGCCAUAUAUACUGCUACACGGACGUUAUACAUAAAACCCUAAAAAUCGAAACAGUCCAAGAAUACAUCAGAAAACUGAGCCGAAACUACAAUAGAAGAUUAACAAAUCACCCAAAUCAUCUAGCAAUCAACCUACUCGACAACAGCACCCAUAUCAGGCGUUUAAAUAGAAACCACAUCCUUGACUUAUUACAAUCAAGUGACUCAAGUGAGAGCGACAGCGACACCGAAUAACUCAAAUUCCAGCGCCAAAUAAUUACGGACAAGCAGCAGCCAAUCCUAUUCUAUCCAAGCUUGGGAGUGGGGACUCCAUCAGCAUCAGCCAUCAGCUCAUCGCAUCGCUAAACAAAACAUCGUUCAUCGCCGAACGCGGAACGCCGACCCAAGUGUGAAGUGCAGUGCUACCAAAUUGAACACGAACGAACAACCCAUAAAUGAGACAAUUAUCUUUCAAAUCCAUCUUUAAUAAGUUCCCUGAAUCUCAACUCUAAUCCUUAUAGUCCCUUUGGGGAAACUCUGGUGACAGUCGGAAUGCCGGCGCACCCUCUCGCCAUAUUGAGCUAAUGAUCCAGUGAGGCAGGAGGUUGUAAAUGAGAUAGUAUCAGUUUUAAUUCAUUCAAGUUUGUGCCAGCACCUUCUUCAUUCCGUGACAAAAUGUUUGAUGGUUCAACGCUCGAACAUGUUCACAUUUACCUGAGCAACGUGUCAACCUACUAUAUUUUAAGUAUAGUUAUUUCAUUGCUGUCAGUGUUUGUCACGAUUUAUUAUAAAUCAAGAACUCUUGUCCCAACCGAAGAAAGAUCUACUCCGAUCACUACUGACUCCUCAAAGCAAGAGAAUCCAGAUGAAGAUUCAAUGUUAUCAAAUAUGUCACCUGUAUUGAUCAAGCAGUUUCUAAAAGCUCAAGUUCCUCAAAAGCUGUUGACAGAGGAUCAACUUUCGGAAGAAAAGAGGGUCGAAAAAAAGCAGAUGGAGGCCAUUUUGAAGCUUAUGCAAGAGCAGCAGAGCAAAUUUCAGAUAAAUUCAAUGGACGAGCUGCAGGAGCAAAUGCAGCUCUACGGAGUUUGAGUCUACAUUGGAAGUGACAUUCCACCAGCAAUUUUAAAUUAUAACACUAAGUGGUUUGAUUUGGAUCUCUAGAUGAAGCCAUAGUUUGGAGCAGCAUUUGUGACUUGUGAAAAUUUCAUUGGGUUGAAGCACAGCUCUUGGUAUGCAUGAGAGUUUGAAUUCCACAUUUCUUGUUUUCUUUUGUUUACCAUAACAACAGAGAUCUCAGUGAUGUAUGAAAAGAUCUGCAACAACUAACUUGAAAAAGUUGUCAUCAAUGUAAAUGCGAUUCAAUUGGAUCUCCUCCAAGGCUAGAUUUCUAGAAUAUACUUUCGCACUCCUAGCCGAGGAAGCUUGAAGUUGAUGUACCGGUGGAUUCAAUGUCCAUCAACUUUGUCAUCAGUUACUUGUCCUUCCUUCAUUUUUUCUUCUUUUGCAAUUCUAACACUAUGCAAGAUACAGUAUCAAUGGCUAAAGUGUGAAACCACGUACCUUCGUUUGUGAAGUUGCGAACUUUCCUAUCAUAUUUUAUUUUUCCUUUGGAAAAGUAGUGAAUGUAAUUUCUUAAAAGCAUUCUUGCUUUUUUCUCUGUAUUAGAAGAAUAGUCUUUAUAAAUUUCAAGCAAUAUAGCAGCCUUGUUUCUUUUUGAAAAAAUUAAAUAGCUGAAGUUUUGAAGUACCGCAAUAGAGAUACAUGGUUUCGUACUUCAGCCAUUGAUAUGACUGAAAGAACAAGUGAAGCUAGUCAAAGCCUGCAAUUUUGUAGAAAAAAAACUUCUUACAAGGCAGGUACUUCUUUCGAAGAGAAAGCACAAUGAGUAUACUGCUUGUUUUUACCCUCCAAGAUGCAAUAAUCAAAGACAAUGCAAUAUGUGCCUGAUGCUGUUUGUGGGAGACAGGAUUAUAAAAUGGAGCUCUUAAAUGUCAAAGGGAUUUGCGAUCUGAGUGCUUUUGAUUUGUAAAAGUUUGGGAGGAGCACAAUGGUGCCCUUGGUUUUCUCUGAAACAAACUCCCAACUCGAACAAGGGAAGCGAGAAAGUAAAAAAUGCUCUCAUUUUGGAGGCUUUGAUGGAGGAAAUUAGGUUCAUACAUUAUGGUGGGAUAUCACCUCACACUCUAUGCACCAUUGUUUCUGGCAAAAUUUUACAUGAGGGAAAGUAACUGAAUCGCAAAUCCCUGUGGCAUGCAAGAGCUGUAUUGGAUUAUCCUCAUGAAUGAACUUUUUUUUGUCAGAGUUUUUAUAGGUUUUUUUACAAAAAUCAACAAGUAAAUGCAUCUCAAAGGCAUGUUGCAGAAGAUUAAAAAUAAUUUUAAAUUUAGUUGGCAAAGAAUGUCCGAAGUUAAGUGGAAGUUCCUUUGAGCAUUGUGUCAAGAACGAGCAAAAGGACAUCAACUCAUGAAUUAUCCAGAUAAACAACGCACAGACCUCUCGUACAAAAUAAGAUUUAAAGUCUAGUAUAGUAUCAGAAUACUGUGGGUCUAAAUUUUGUAGAUUUUAUACCACUGUAAAUAUUUUGAGAUCAUAUGUCUGCCUAAAACAAGUCCCAUUAUCCAGAAAACAUGUGAGAUUAUAAGCAGACCCUGGAGCAUUGGUUGAAGUUUGCGAAACUCCUAUUCUAUGAAACAUAUGUAUGAGGGUCAAUCUUUCCAAUUUAAUCUUCUGCAUUCAUCACGACAGCUUUAAUAUGUGAAUAUGCAUUUUUAAUUAAUGAUUAGGGAUAGAUACAGCUAAUUGAAUAUCUAAUUGUAAUUGUUUGUACAAUAAAUGUCUUUAAUUUGUAUUAGAAAAGUUUGUUUUCUCUUUUCUCUGCUUUACUUGUAAGUUAUACCUCUCUUUUUCAUUCAAAAAGCAUGAAUAACUGAUAUUAUGCUGAGCCCAAGUAAACAAUUAGAAAAACUACUAAUUAACUGGCAUAUGGAUGUAGACAAGAAGAGCUAGUUUACUUUAUCCUUCUUAAGAAGACUGAGGUCAAUUUUUGGGUCAAUGGGCUGAAAAAAACAUUCCUGACAUGGCGGAUAAUGUGAAGACUUUUCUUACCGGUUUUUCUAUUUGGUUGAUAUUCACUUACUCACCACAGCCAUUUUGAGCCAACCGCUCAUCAUCAGGUGUGUAAAAAAUUAAAAAACUAAGAUCAUUAUAAUUAUGCGACCGCAAGUCAUGUAGUUACCAUUUGAUAUCUGCAUCCGCGGUGUGAAGUAAUAGUGAAUAAAUGAAAAUCAACUAGGUAGAAAAAUCUGUAUGAUAAAUGGACUCCAUUUUGCAAUUUGAAACUAUGAAUUCUAUCCCGGUUUAAAAACAACGUAUGUCCCAUUAAUUUCCCUAUGCACCUAAGUGUUUUUCAGAAGAGCCAAAAUUUAUAGUUCCAAAUUGCAAAAUGCAGUCCAAAUAUGACCGAUAAAGUAAACCAAAGAAGUGAAAAACCUAACAACCUGAAUUUUUGGACAAAAUAACCUAAUAACACUCAAAAGUGUCCUCAUAAAAUCUCAUUGCAAAGAGAGGAUGGGUUAGAGAAAUGAAUCGAGAAUAUCAUUGUUAUAGACAUCACAGCCUUUAUUAUACAAUAUUUUCUUCUUUUUAAAAAAAUCAAAUUUACAGGGAGAGAUUUUAAAAAUAAAUCUUAAAAAACUAUGUUACAAAUUUGGAUUAUGUUACCAAAUGUUUUAAUUUUUUAGGUAAAAUAGAGGACAAAAAUAACAAAUUAAGUACAAGAACAAUUAAAACUGCGUUACAGUUUUUGAGAAAAUAAGAGACUUGUCACCUUAUCUCUUUUCUUAAUUAUUAACGAAUCUUUCUGAAUAAUAAUAGUUCACUUUUUCAGUCAAAAAGAUGGAAACAUUACAGUAAGGCAACUCACUCGGUAUGGCAACAAUCAGUUCAAAUUUGCUUAACUUUCUCAUGUUUCAAUUUUGCUUUAAGCAGUGGGUAAAUUUAACGCAAUUCCAACCUAAAUCUUCAAGAGUGGGUACUUUGAUCUGCAAAUCCAUGAUUCAUCUAUUAUUGAUGGUGUAACAAAUUUAUUCUUUUAAUACUGAUACAUGAUUGCACUAACCUGCAGAACUCACAACAUAAUUUUAUCAGGUUUCUUUCUUUUUUUUUUAGGCUUAAAAUAAGGCACCAUUCGCACCUAUAAAUUUUUUUUGCUUCUUUUAAAUAAAUAUUUAAAGGUAAGUAUGAUGUGCGUAGGAACGAUGGUCAUACUCAAGGUUUCUUGGUACAAAGGGUUGUGCCAGAGGAAAACUCCCAAAAUUUAGACUGUAGUGCAACAUUCAUAUUGGCAAUUCAAUGCCAUAUCUCUGACUAAAACAUAAAAUUUUCUUCAUUAAGCCCCUUGAAACAGACUCACCACCCACUGAGCUAGUACGGUUUAAUGAGCCAUCGAAAGCAAUAAAUCCUUUCCCUGAAUUUACUAGGACAACUUUCCGACUGAACUAGAAGACAUCUCAUUUCUAUGGUACCUGAAGAACAUAGGUAUUUGUAAAGAAGUUUUCAAAGGCACACUUCUCUUCUCAUUUAAAAAAUAGGGUCAUAAAUAGUAUAGAAAAUAAUAUGACUUUUAAAAAGCUCACAAGCUCUAUUUUCUACACUCAAUUAAAUUUACGGGCCGAUUUUCUAAGGAACCCCUGAAACAUCAGUAUUUCAAAGCCUCUGAAGAACUCACCUCUUAUCUACUUACAGCUGAAAAAAUUUAUAUUGGUCCCUCUAGAUAUAAUGUAAUCCCCACAGUCAUCGUUACACUCUGCGCUAAUUGUGGAUCUACGAAACAUAGUACCUCAAAAUGUACCCUAGAAAAGAAAGGUCCCUUCUGCUUCAGAUGUACGUCCCACUCUCACAAAACAGGGGAAUGUAAAUGUAAGAAUGAAGAAUUAAAAUGUAUGACUUGCCGCACCGACUCCAAAAAAGAGCUUAACCAUAGAGCUGGUUCUUUUGCGUGUCCUCUAUACAAGGACGCCUUCAACUUUAAAGUGACCCUUACUAAGUGGGGCGUCGGACGUUCAGCCCACGUAGAG
rnacentral:lncRNA from 1 species